AGUGAACGCUGGCGGUGGGCCUAACACAUGCAAGUCGAACGGCAGCACAGUAGGAGCUUGCUCUUACGGGUGGCGAGUGGCGGACGGGUGAGGAAUACAUCGGAAUCUACUUUUUCGUGGGGGAUAACGUAGGGAAACUUACGCUAAUACCGCAUACGACCUACGGGUGAAAGCAGGGGAUCUUCGGACCUUGCGCGAUUGAAUGAGCCGAUGUCGGAUUAGCUAGUUGGCGGGGUAAAGGCCCACCAAGGCGACGAUCCGUAGCUGGUCUGAGAGGAUGAUCAGCCACACUGGAACUGAGACACGGUCCAGACUCCUACGGGAGGCAGCAGUGGGGAAUAUUGGACAAUGGGCGCAAGCCUGAUCCAGCCAUACCGCGUGGGUGAAGAAGGCCUUCGGGUUGUAAAGCCCUUUUGUUGGGAAAGAAAAGCAGCAGGUUAAUACCCCGCUGUUCUGACGGUACCCAAAGAAUAAGCACCGGCUAACUUCGUG
rnacentral:rRNA from 1 species